GGCGGCGUGCCUAACACAUGCAAGUCGCACGAGAAAGGGGACUUCGGUCCCUGAGUACAGUGGCGCACGGGUGAGUAACACGUGAAUCAUCUACCUUCGAGUGGGGAAUAACUGAGAGAAAUCUUAGCUAAUACCGCAUAAUACCCACGGGUCAAAGCAGCAAUGCGCUUGAAGAGGAGUUCGCGGCAGAUUAGUUAGUUGGCGGGGUAAUGGCCCACCAAGACGAUGAUCUGUAUCCGGCCUGAGAGGGCGCACGGACACACUGGAACUGAAACACGGUCCAGACUCCUACGGGAGGCAGCAGUGGGGAAUUUUGCGCAAUGGGGGAAACCCUGACGCAGCAACGCCGCGUGGAGGAUGAAAUCCCUUGGGAUGUAAACUCCUUUCGAUCGGGAAGAUAAUGACGGUACCGAGAGAAGAAGCCCCGGCUAACUUCGUGCCAGCAGCCGCGGUAAUACGAGGGGGGCAAGCGUUGUUCGGAAUUAUUGGGCGUAAAGGGUGCGUA
rnacentral:rRNA from 1 species